CAACAGUGAUGAACAUGUACUUAGUCCGUGUUUUUGAACACAAUGAUAACAUUAUAAGUUCUGAGUCA